GGAGAGCUCUUCACUUCAUGCUCAGCACCGGCUUCCCACAGACAUCUCCGACCUUCAUCAGAUUCUGAACAGCAAGCUUCUUCUUCAAUGGAGGAGAUCACCAAGGAGUUUGAGGAGAGGAAGAUUGAACUCGAAGCUAAGGCUCUAAAGAUCUAUCAGGCCUCAGACGCUGAUAUCAAGAUCUGCAUUACUUGUCAAAGUUAAAUUUGAUCGAAAUUCCAUAAAGAACAAGGUAUGUUGCUGAAAAAUUUG